GGAAGGAUCAUUACUCUUAAAAACUUUCUUUCUCGGUGUUCUUUUCUUUGGUCUUAACCGAUCGAAGAAGUGACCCGGGAUCGAUUCAUCAGCGUUGAAUUCGAGUAUUCAUAUUUCUUCCUUUUUUUUUUCUCUACGAGUCCGACCCCUUUAAUGGGGUCUCUUUUGGCGUUGAACUAAAGGGGAAAUAAACAAACUUUUAAAUUACGGAAAAAAAACUUUAAAUUACAAGCCGUAACCGUGGAUGACUCGGCUCGGAAUACGAGGAAGAACGCAGCAAAGUGCGAUAACCAAGGGGAAUUGCAGAAUUCUGUGACUCUUUACUCUUCGAAUGCAACCGGCGCCCUCGAGAGCUUUCGAGCUCUUGAGGGCGUGCUCGGUCGAGCUCCGCUUAUUCAUCGAUCCCAAUUCAACCAAUUGGGUAUCAUCCCUCUUUUUCUUUUUAAGAAAAAGGUCACGUCGGGUUCUCAAUUGCGUUUAACCGCACAAUUGAGCCUGAUUUAGAUUUCAGGGAUUAGGUUCAACUUAACCUUCUAAAAAGACCUCACUCUUCCCGUAAGGGAUGCGGUAGGGUCUUCUCUCAAACCUUUUAGUAGGAAGGAAGAGGGGUAUUUUUUACCCCUUCUUUUUUUUUUUUUCUUAAGGCGAGAGAGUUCGAAGGGAACCUUUCCUUUUUUUUUCUACUCUCAAAGGCUCUUAGUCGGUUUUCGACUAAGCGGAGUACGAAAAUUUUUUUAUGCGGAAUCGAUUCGAGCACGACCACCCCGCGGAUUUAAGCAUAUCAUUAGCGGGAGGAAAAGAAAUUAACUAAGAUUCCCUUAGUAACUGCGAGUGAACAGGGAAAAGCCCACGCUGAAUCUACUGGGACCAGCAUUCCGGUCGAAAUGUAGCGUAACUAUCAUUCUUUGGUAUCUGUCGAUCGGUGAAGUUCCUUGGAACGGGACGUCAUAGAGGGUGAAAGCCCCGUAACUGAGAGAUGGGUGUCUUAAUAAGGGUGAAUAGAGGAGUCGAGCUGUUUGGGAGUACAGCUCUAAUUGGGUGAUAAACUUCAUCCAAGGCUAAAUAUUUAUUCCGAGACCGAUAGCAAACAAGUACCGUGAGGGAAAGUUGAAAAGGACUUUGAAAAGAGAGUUAAAAGAACCUGAAACGGUUGCGGUAUUAAGGAGUUGCACGCUCUAACGUCGAGCGUUUCGAAUCAGGCGUAUGGGUGUAAUUAGGUUGUUGAUGCGUGGCCUCUUUUGAGGUUCGCUAGGUGAUCUAACCAAGUCCGUGCGCUGCAAUUUGGAACAGUUCGAGGCAAGGCCUUUUGUCGAAUCCGGUCGAAACGGUUGCUGUAAGGUAGUUUCUUUAUGGAACUUUAUAGACAGUGAUCAGGGGCCGUGAUAAGGCGAAAGAGGAUCCCUAAGGGGGAUAAGAGCGACGGUUUUCGCAUGGUGGUGUCAUAGGGGAUCGCCUGAAGAGAUUCGAACGCAAGUUCGGGUUUUGGAAGGGCUGACUCUAUGGUGUUUCUCAUUGCAGUCGUUCACGGCUUUGCUCUUUGUUUAUACGAGUGUGUGACUCGCCCGUCUUGAAACACGGACCAAGGAGUUCGAUUGUAGUGCGAGUAUUAGGAUGAGUAAAAUCCGAGUGCGCAAUGAAAGUGAUCAAGGAGGUGAUCCCCGCAAGGGGUGCAACCUCGACCGACGCCUCCAUUCUUGGAGGGGUUUGAGUAAGAGCACUACGAUUGAGACCCGAAAGAUUGCGAACUAUGCCCGCAUAGGGUGAAGCCAGAAGAAAUUCUGGUGGAGGCUCGUAGCGGUAUUGACGUGCAAAUCAUUCGUCAAAUGUGGGUAUAGCGGCGAAAGACUAAUCGAGCAGUCUAGUAGCUGGUUCCUGC
rnacentral:misc_RNA from 1 species